rnacentral:rRNA from 1 species
UACGGGGGGGGUAAGCGUUGUUCGGAAUUACUGGGCGUAAAGGGCUCGUAGGCGGCCAACUAAGUCAGACGUGAAAUCCCUCAGCUUAACUGGGGAACUGCGUCUGAUACUGGAUGGCUUGGAUUCGGGAGAGGAAUGCGGAAUUCCAGGUGUAGCGGUGAAAUGCGUAGAUAUCUGGAGGAACACCGGUGGCGAAGGCGGCAUUCUGGACCGACAUUGACGCUGAGGAGCGAAAGCCAGGGGAGCAAAGCAGG